AUUGAACGCUGGCGGUAUGCCUAACACAUGCAAGUCGAACGGCAGCACGGUAAAGAUUUCGGUCUUUAUGGGUGGCGAGUGGCGGACGGGUGAGUAAUAGGUAGGAAUCUGUCCUGGAGAGUGGGAUAACACGCGGAAACGCGUGCUAAUACCGCAUAAUAUUGAGAAAUCAAAGCAGGGGACCCUUCGGGGCCUUGCGCUCUAGGUUGAGCCUACGUCGGAUUAGCUAGUUGGUGGGGUAAAGGCCUACCAAGGCGACGAUCCGUAGCGGGUCUGAGAGGAUGACCAGCCACACUGGGACUGAGACACGGCCCAGACUCCUACGGGAGGCAGCAGUGGGGAAUCUUGGACAAUGGGGGAAACCCUGAUCCAGCGAUACCGCGUGUGUGAAGAAGGCCUUCGGGUUGUAAAGCACUUUAGGUGGGGAAGAAAGGUGCGAGAGGAAUAUUUUCGUACUGUGACGGUACCCACAGAAUAAGCACCGGCUAACUCUGUGCCAGCCGCCGCAGUAA
rnacentral:rRNA from 1 species